UUCAUCCCUAUUGGUCGAAUACCAUGCCCAAUGGGCUUUGAGGAGGCUGCCCGAGGCCAUAUUAGGGAUUAGGGUUCCUCUUUCGAGGCCAUUCGAGCUUUUGAGGCUAGGAUCAGAAGGUUUAGGGUUUUGGGUAUAAUUUGGGUGAAGAUUUUGUGUGAUUUCGAGUUUUUAUGGAAAAGAUAUGAGUGUUCAAAGAUAAGGUGUCAAUUUCGUACCUACUGUCACUUCUUUUGGGCAUCACAUACGAAUACGGAGAGCAACAGAAGAUCGGCGACUGGAUUUGGAGGGAGCAUUUUCUCGGCUACACAUUCUACUUACUGUAUAGUGAAUUCUAAGAUUGGGUGAAGGAGUUAUGAGGCGUUGAAGACAGCACUUGUAAUUUGAAGGCAGUAAGUAUAUUGUUUUGUUGCUAGUUAUGGGUGGAGCCAUAUCUUGAGUUUCUAGACGAAUUUUUGGCUCAAAAUUUCUACAAGUGUGUAUAAUUGGGUUAAGAAGCUUUAGAUCAAAGUUUCAUAGUAUUUGAAUAAUUACUUUGUGAGAUAUGAAGGAAGUUGUACACGGAUGUAAAAAAGCUAGGGUUUGAAGCUACAGUUAAUGUUUUCAAGAUAUCACAAGAUCCGAGACGAAUUUACGGUUGAAUUUUGGUGUGGUAGUUGCUAAAGAUAUAUCAGUACUCCAUGUACAAUUUGGAGUUGUUUAGACGGUUAGAUCGUAAGUUAUGAGCUGUUGAACUUCGGGAAAAAUUCCUCAUAAGGAUAUAUAAGUUUUUUGUAACACCUUAUCAAGUAUUUUGGUGUUCUUUGGAUUUUAAGGCUUGUAUAUUGAUGUAAUUGCUCCAAAUGAGAUGAGUUUAUAUAUAUAUAAUUUUUAUCCUUA
rnacentral:lncRNA from 1 species